GCCCAGGUAGCUCAGUCGGUAGAGCAGCGGAUUGAAAAUCCGCGUGUCGCUGGUUCGAUUCCGGCCCUGGGCACCA
rnacentral:tRNA from 3 species